rnacentral:rRNA from 1 species
CACGUAGGGGGCGAGCGUUGUCCGGAUUUAUUGGGCGUAAAGAGCUCGUAGGUGGUUCGGUAAGUCGGGUGUGAAAACUCUGGGCUCAACUCAGAGAAGCCACCUGAUACUGCCGUGACUGGAGUCUGGUAGGGGAGUGUGGAAUUUCCGGUGUAGCGGUGAAAUGCGCAGAUAUCGGAAGGAACACCAGUGGCGAAGGCGGCACUCUGGGCCAGUACUGACACUGAGGAGCGAAAGCGUGGGUAGCGAACAGG